GUGGGGAAUAUUGGACAAUGGGCGCAAGCCUGAUCCAGCCAUGCCGCGUGAGUGAUGAAGGCCUUAGGGUUGUAAAGCUCUUUCACCGAUGAAGAUAAUGACGGUAGUCGGAGAAGAAGCCCCGGCUAACUUCGUGCCAGCAGCCGCGGUAAUACGAAGGGGGCUAGCGUUGUUCGGAUUUACUGGGCGUAAAGCGCACGUAGGCGGUUUGUUAAGUCAGAGGUGAAAUCCCGGAGCUCAACUCCGGAACUGCCUUUGAUACUGGCAAGCUAGAGUCCGGAAGAGGUAAGUGGAACUCCUAGUGUAGAGGUGGAAUUCGUAGAUAUUAGGAAGAACACCAGUGGCGAAGGCGGCUUACUGGUCCGGAACUGACGCUGAGGUGUGAAAGCGUGGGGAGCAAACAGGAUUAGAAACCCGGGUAGUCC
rnacentral:rRNA from 1 species